GCUGCUUAAAAGAAUUAUGUUUUCAGGAAAUUGUUUACACUCUAAAAACUCUAAUGUGGCCUUCUUAAGAACCUGUAUUUUUUUGUGAAGUUGGUGGGCAAAUGCUACAAGUCAUCAGUACAGUUUUUCCUCUUCUGUGCUGUGUCAUAAAGAGUGAAGUUCUGGUGGGUCCAGUGCUGAGUGCCAUUCACCAACAGCUCCCAUUAAAACUGACAAGGAACAAAUAUACCAAGAAAGGAGUUCGUCAUGUGCUUCAGUAAAAUCUAAACAUAUUACAAGGAAAAGCUUAAGGCUUGAGGCAAAGACCACAUUCAGUAGCAACCAUGUGACUCAACUGGCCAAGGAUUGAAACAGAAUUUAACUCUUGCUAGCAUUUUAUUGAAGUUUUAACCUGUGAUGGCUUUUAUUCAUUUACACACAAAUCUCAGUUGCAGCGCUUGAGCAGCUAUGCGAUGUAAUCUGUACAAAUGCAAUAAAAAAACUUGAGAGGAUGUAGAAAGUGGGGCAAUGUCUUCACCUAUGUCUCAUUUUAAGUUAUUAAAACAACUACAUAAGUUGUUAACAAAACUGGCUGCAUAUGUCUUACCAAAUGCUAGAUUGGAAUUGUAGAUACAAGUGAUUGUUUUCUUGGAACAAUUAAUACAGCUGGCAAAGUGGCAUUUGGUUACAGAAACCUCUUUUUUGGACCUGAAAGAGAAACAACAAACUUCAAACUUAGAUACAAUUGAGAAUAAUUGGUCUUGGAUUCUAUGAGAAAAGAGGUAGCUGCUUCCUAUUUAGUGAAGUGGGGGGGGAGGGUAUAAGCAAGAAGAUAGUGCCAAGGUGAUUGUUUACUUGGAGAGAGUAAUAGGUAAAUUAUAGCCUGUGGGAUAUGAACAUGUUUCACUCGGAGUCAGUAGAGAAGCCAGAAAUAACUUAGCUUGACCUUUAAAUUCUGUUUCCAGAAUUUGAAUUUGGAAAGGAAGGGAAAGAAACAAAACAACACAAUUUAGUGAAUGAUUUACUUAAGUUUACUUGAUUUGCAAUCCAAGUAAAUGUAACAUGCAUCAGAAGCACUGAAGCAAUAAAACCAUUUUAGUGCAAUUUUAAAGGCAUUUCGUCAGCGAAGGUUUGCAGUUGAAAUUGAUCUGAAACAUCUUUCAUGUAUUGUCUGUUAAUUUUUUGCAAAUAAAAUACAAGGCUGUUGAAUAGGCUGAAAUUUCUUGUUUUA